AUUGAACGCUGGCGGCAGGCCUAACACAUGCAAGUCGAGCGGAGCGGCGGACGGGUGAGUAAUGUCUAGGAAUCUGCCCGGUAGUGGGGGAUAACGUCCGGAAACGGGCGCUAAUACCGCAUACUAUCAGAUGAGCCUAGGUCGGAUUAGCUAGUUGGUGGGGUAAAGGCCUACAAAGGCGACGAUCCGUACCUGGUCUGAGAGGAUGAUCAGUAACACUGGAACUGAGACACGGUCCAGACUCCUACGGGAGGCGGCAGUGGGGAAUAUUGGACAAUGGGGGAAAGCCUGAUCCAGCCAUGCCGCGUGUGUGUGGAAGGUCUUCGGAUUGUAAAGCACGUUAAGUUGGGAGGCGUUACCAACAGAAUAAGCACCGGCUAACUGCGUGCCAGCAGCCGCGGUAAUAC
rnacentral:rRNA from 1 species